AGUCGAGCGGGGAUAGAGAUUGGAGAACAGAGAUUAGAGAAUAGAGGAAAGCAAGUACUUUUCGAAUCUCUAAUUUCUCUUCUCUAAUCUCAAUUCUAGCGGCGGACGGGUGAGUAACGCGUGGGUAACCAACCAUAUAGAGGGGGAUAACGGCUAGAAAUAGCCGCUAAUACCGCAUAGACCGAUAAUGCCGCAUGGUAUAAUCGGUAAAGGAGCAAUCCGCUGUAUGACGGACCCGCGUCUGAUUAGCUAGUUGGUGGGGUAAAGGCCUACCAAGGCGACGAUCAGUAGCCGACCUGAGAGGGUGAUCGGCCACAUUGGGACUGAGACACGGCCCAAACUCCUACGGGAGGCAGCAGUGGGGAAUAUUGCACAAUGGGGGAAACCCUGAUGCAGCAACGCCGCGUGAAGGAAGAAGUAUUUCGGUACGUAAACUUCAGACGCUGAUGAAGAAAAGAAUGACGGUAAUCAGGCCGGAGCCCCGGCUAACUACGUGCCAGCAGCCGCGGUAAUACGUAGGGGGCAAGCGUUAUCCGGAAUUACUGGGCGUAAAGGGUGAGUAGGCGGUAAGUCAAGUCAUAUGUGAAAGCCCCAGGCUUAACCUGGGGAUUGCAUAAGAAACUGGCUGACUAGAGUAUGGGAGAGG
rnacentral:rRNA from 1 species